GUGAGUCAUCGAAUCUUUGAACGCAAAUUGCACUCUCUGGUAUUCCGGGGAGUAUGCCUGUUUGAGGGUCAGUUUAAAUAAAAUCGUAUGUUGCUUUUGUGACAUUCGGAAUUGGGUGGUCUUAACCCGUUUAGGUUAAGAGACCUGAAAUUUGAUAUUAUGUUGCAUCCUAGACGUGUAUAAUUCAUUUAUCCGUUUUCGGGUGUUAUUUUUUAUUAGGUAUGAUCUCGUAUGAUUAUUAUGCCUAUAAUUCUUCACAUUUUGACCUCAAAUCAGGUAAGAAUACCCGCUGAACUUAAG
rnacentral:misc_RNA from 1 species